AAUUUUAGGAUACAUACAGUUCAAGAGCAAGCAACGGAUUGAGCCUGUAUGUCUCCUGAUU
rfam:Porcine enterovirus type 9, complete genome sequence, isolate TKG/410/73